AAAAUAUAUGAUUUUUUGUUUGAUGCAAAUUGACUUGCAUACAGUUUUGGGGGAUGUUUUUUUUCUUUCUCUCUUUCAAAUAGUGGUCAUUCUUUUGAUAUACUUUACGAAAAAAAAAUAAUACUUCCAUUAUCUUCAGAUCUUUGUGGUGCAGGGCCUAUUUCAAGCACGCCAAUCACCAGUGCUGUUUGAUCCCGUUUGGUCAAUAUGUGCGCAAGUUGAUCCACGACCAGUUUUCCACGGUGGCGCGGGCAUUAGGAUAACAACGCCUACGCACGAGAACGCAUGUGUGGCUACGUUGGCGGGUUUGUUCAAAUGUGACUUCACAGGAGCAGUAAUGGAGAGACUAGGAACACUCCUGUGAGACCGUUUUCUGGAUUGCUGCACAUCUGAGAUGUAUUCUGACACUUUAUUGUACUCAGCAGCCAGAGCACAAGCCACUGAUAAGUCAUUGCUUUCUUGCAUUCUUGGCCAAUGGCCAUCUUGAUGAUGGCCAAUGUUGUAGAGGUGAUUGUACUGUGAUCUAUUGCUGUAGCUUUCUAAGUAAAAUACUGUGAUCUCCUGUAUUGGCCUUUAGUUGGACCGAGAGAGAACACCAUUUUCUUGGCAUCAGAGGCUCCUUUGGUACUAACUGCAUCACUGGUUCAUGAACGACUAGGACAUGCAAGAGGUGCAGCCCAAUUGCUACCAACAAAAUGAAUACUCCCAACCAACAUGGCGCUUUUCAACCAAUUAAGUUGUGCUUCUACUCAAGGCAGAUUGAAGAGAUUGCUUGGCUGAAACAUUAGUUUCCCUAGUUUCAGUAGUUUGACAGAGAGACAAGGACAAGCUAGUCCCUGGAGGCCGUUCUCUGGAGUGUAACAAAUCAGAGAUAUCUUAUCACUGGUGACAGUACUCAACAGGUAUGGAAACAGUCUGCAUCACAUUCUGAUAUUAGUCCAUGGUUAUGGUAAUAGUGAAAUGCCUGGUUGUCCUGUAGAUCUUGAUCUUGGGUUUUGUCUUUUAAGUUUUCAACUAAUGAGAAUCUCCGGCCUCAAAGGUUGGGUUGAAUUAAACUACAAAAAAUGGAGGGAAUUAUUUGGUGUGGUUGUACAAUUUGUGCCAAAGUGAACAGAAACAAGACAGAAGCAGCAUCUACAGGCUGCUUGUAGUGAAUGAGGAGUGUACUGAAAUGAAAUGUCCUCAUUCCUGGAUCCAAAUUACAUACAAGGAUGGGUGUACACAUUCCAUAGGGGUCAUGUAAGAAAUCUGGACUCUUAUUUUGUUUUACCAGCCAACUGUUUACUCGCUGAAGCCAUCUUUCUGUGUCAAAUACAUUAAAGUUGAAAUGCAUCAAUUUGUUACAAUAUUGCAUACUAGCCAACAUUGGCUUCAGUUGGUACAAUUCUUUC